rnacentral:rRNA from 1 species
AGAGUUUGAUCCUGGCUCAGGACGAACGCUGGCGGCGUGCCUAACACAUGCAAGUCGAACGAAGCUUGAUGAUGGAUUUCUUCGGAAUGAAAUCUGAAAUGACUGAGUGGCGGACGGGUGAGUAACGCGUGAGUAAACCUGCCCUUAGGAAAGGAUAGCGUCUGGAAACGGACGGUAAUACCAUAUAAAGUAUAUUAACGGCAUCGUAGAUAUACAAAGCUGAGGCGCCUAAGGAUGGACUCGCGUCUGAUUAGAUAGUUGUGGGGUAACGGCCUACCAAGUCGACGAUCAGUAGCCGGACUGAGAGGUUGAACGGCCACAUUGGGACUGAGACACGGCCCAGACUCCUACGGGAGGCAGCAGUGGGAAUAUUGCACAAUGGGCGAAAGCCUGAUGCAGCAACGCCGCGUGAAGGAAGACGGUUUUCGGAUUGUAAACUUCUGUUCUUAGUGAAGAAUAAUGACGUAACUAAGGAGCAAGCCACGGCUAACUACGUGCCAGCAGCCGCGGUAAUACGUAGGUGGCAAGCUUGUCCGGAAUUACUGGGUGUAAAGAGAGCGUAGGCGGGAAGCCAGUCAGCUGUGAAAACUACGGCUUAACCUGUAGACUGCAGUUGAAACUGGCUUUCUUGAGUGAAGUAGAGGUUGGCGGAAUUCCGAGUGUAGCGGUGAAAUGCGUAGAUAUUCGGAGGAACACGGUGGCGAAGGCGGCAACUGGGCUUUAACUGACGCUGAGCUCGAAAGUGUGGGGAGCAAACAGGAUUAGAUACCCUGGUAGUCCACACUGUAAACGAUGAUAACUAGGUGUGGGGGUCUGACCCCUUCCGUGCGCAGCUAACGCAAUAAGUUAUCCACCUGGGAGUACGACCGCAAGGUUGAAACUCAAAGGAAUUGACGGGGACCGCACAAGCAGUGGAUUAUGUGGUUUAAUUCGAAGCAACGCGAAGAACCUUACCAGCACUUGACAUCCGACUAACGAAGUAGAGAUACAUUAGGUGCCCUUCGGGGAAAGUCGAGACAGGGUGGCAUGGUUGUCGUCAGCUCGUGUCGUGAGAUGUUGGGUUAAGUCCCGCAACGAGCGCAACCCUGCCAUUAGUUGCUACGCAAGAGCACUCUAAUGGGACCGCUACCGACAAGGUGGAGGAAGGUGGGGACGACGUCAAAUCAUCAUGCCCUUAUGUGCUGGGCUACACACGUAAUACAAUGGCCAUCAACAGAGAGAAGCAAUACCGCGAGGUGGAGCAAAACUUCAAAAAUGGUCUCAGUUCGGACUGUAGGCUGCAACUCGCCUACACGAAGUUGGAAUUGCUAGUAAUCGUGGAUCAGCAUGCCACGGUGAAUACGUUCCCGGUCUUGUACACACCGCCGUCACACCAUGGAGCCGGUAACACCCGAAGUCAGUAGUCUAACCGCAAGGAGGACGCUGCCGAAGGUGGGAUUGGCGACUGGGGUGAAGUCGUAACAAGGUAGCCGUAUCGGAAGGUGCGGCUG